GGGGAUAAUGAUGAAGCAAAAUUAAUCUAAUCCAACACUUGAUCUGAGAGAUACUAUGUGCAUCUCCAAGUGAAGUUACAACUGUUAGCUUCUGAAUCUAACUUUGAGGAAAAAAAAAAAAAAAAAAAAAAAAAAAAAA
rnacentral:snoRNA from 1 species